rnacentral:rRNA from 1 species
AUUGAACGCUGGCGGCAGGCCUAACACAUGCAAGUCGAACGAGUGGCGGACGGGUGAGUAAUGUCUGGGAAACUGCCUGAUGGAGGGGGAUAACUACUGGAAACGGUAGCUAAUACCGCAUACCAUCGGAUGUGCCCAGAUGGGAUUAGCUAGUAGGUGGGGUAAAGGCUCACAUUGGCGACGAUCGCUCGCUGGUCUGCGAGGAUUACAAGCCACACUGGAACUGAGACACGUUCCAGAUUCCUACGGGAGGCAUCAGUGGGGAAUAGUGUACAAGGGGCGCAAGCCUGAUGAAGCCAUGCCUCGUGUAUGAAGAAGGCCGUCGGGUUGUAAAGUUCUUUCAGCUGGGAGGCGUUACCCGCAGAAGAAGCACCGGCUAACUCCGUGCCAGCAGCCGCGGUAAUAC